AUGCAUAUUCGAUCUUCGCCGUUCAUAAACUUUCUAACCAGACAUCGGUCGGGGAUUUUGUUUAUACUAAUAAAUAGAGCUAUGUUUUUACAAGCUUCGUUAGCAACAUUUUUGUGGAAUACGUUUUUUAUGACAUUUUGUGCCGCGGCGAAGGAUGCGAAGUAUGCAAAUCUAGACGGAAUGGAUCUACUUGGAAAAGUACGUGUACUGCACUAAUAAGAGUGUUUCUAAAAGCCAGAAUUUUAAAGGGGAGGGCGGUCGUUUUUUUUUCUCAAGAAUAAUUAUAGAAAUAAGCUAUAAACUGGUAUAUUUUGUAAAGUUUGACAUAAUUACAAAUAAAUGUAUGCCUAAGUGACAUUUCUGUGUAAUUAUAUUGUUAAUUUUGUGAAUUUCGUGUAUUUUUAGACCUCACUACAUUUAGAUGUAAAAAAAAAAUCUCAGUUGAGUGAGUGUGGUUAAUCUACAUUUUGAACGUGAUGUAAAUGUCUAGUGCUAUUAAUUUUUAUAUUUUUGAAUUCCUCGAUUGUUAAGCAACAAAAUUGAUAUAUAAUAUGUCAAUAAUUGUUACUUUGAAAAUUGGCGAAAAUCGA